rnacentral:pre_miRNA from 15 species
UUCAACUGACUAUGUGACCUGUGGGCUUCCCUUUGUCAUCCUAUGCCUGGAAAUCAGAGUGGGGCAGGGACAGCAAAGGGAUGCUCAGCUGUCGUCUUCUAC